AGUCGAGCGGACAGAUGGGAGCUUGCUCCCUGAUGUUAGCGGCGGACGGGUGAGUAACACGUGGGUAACCUGCCUGUAAGACUGGGAUAACUCCGGGAAACCGGGGCUAAUACCGGAUGGUUGUUUGAACCGCAUGGUUCAAACAUAAAAGGUGGCUUCGGCUACCACUUACAGAUGGACCCGCGGCGCAUUAGCUAGUUGGUGAGGUAACGGCUCACCAAGGCAACGAUGCGUAGCCGACCUGAGAGGGUGAUCGGCCACACUGGGACUGAGACACGGCCCAGACUCCUACGGGAGGCAGCAGUAGGGAAUCUUCCGCAAUGGACGAAAGUCUGACGGAGCAACGCCGCGUGAGUGAUGAAGGUUUUCGGAUCGUAAAGCUCUGUUGUUAGGGAAGAACAAGUACCGUUCGAAUAGGGCGGUACCUUGACGGUACCUAACCAGAAAGCCACGGCUAACU
rnacentral:rRNA from 1 species